rnacentral:rRNA from 1 species
GACGAACGCUGGCGGCGUGCCUAAUACAUGCAAGUCGAGCGCAGGAAGCCGUUCCGAACCCUUCGGGGGGACGAACGGUGGAAUGAGCGGCGGACGGGUGAGUAACACGUAAAGAACCUGCCCAUAGGUCUGGGAUAACCACGAGAAAUCGGGGCUAAUACCGGAUGUGUCAUCGGACCGCAUGGUCCGCUGAUGAAAGGCGCUCCGGCGUCGCCCAUGGAUGGCUUUGCGGUGCAUUAGCUAGUUGGUGGGGUAACGGCCCACCAAGGCGACGAUGCAUAGCCGACCUGAGAGGGUGAUCGGCCACACUGGGACUGAGACACGGCCCAGACUCCUACGGGAGGCAGCAGUAGGGAAUCUUCCACAAUGGACGAAAGUCUGAUGGAGCAACGCCGCGUGAACGAUGAAGGCUUUCGGGUCGUAAAGUUCUGUUGUAAGGGAAGAACAAGUGCCGCAGGCAAUGGCGGCACCUUGACGGUACCUUGCGAGAAAGCCACGGCUAACUACGUGCCAGCAGCCGCGGUAA